GUUGUAUGGUUAAGUGACUAAGCGUAUACGGUGGAUGCCUUGGCAGUUAGAGGCGAUGAAGGACGUGUAAGUCUGCGAAAAGCUGUGGUGAGCCGACAAAAUGCAUUUGAGCCACAGAUGUCCGAAUGGGGAAACCCACCUAUUUAUAGGUAUCGUUACAUGAAUAUAUAGUGUAACGAGGCGAACGAGGGGAACUGAAACAUCUAAGUACCCUUAGGAAAAGAAAUCAACCGAGAUUCCCCUAGUAGCGGCGAGCGAACGGGGAUUAGCCCUUAAGCAAUUAUGAACGUAGUGGAAGCCUCUGGGAAGUGGCGCGAUACAAGGUGAUAGCCCUGUACACGAAGUGUUUGUUUUUGUGAAAUCGAGUAGGUCGGGACACGUGUUAUCUUGACUGAAUAUGGGGGGACCAUCCUCCAAGGCUAAAUACUCCUAACUGACCGAUAGUGAACCAGUACCGUGAGGGAAAGGCGAAAAGAACCCCUGUGAGGGGAGUGAAAUAGAACCUGAAACCGUAUACGUACAAGCAGUGGGAGCAGACUUGUUCUGUGACUGCGUACCUUUUGUAUAAUGGGUCAGCGACUUAUAUUUAGUAGCAAGGUUAAGCGAAUAGCGGAGCCGUAGCGAAAGCGAGUGUUAACUGCGCGUUUAGUUGCUAGGUAUAGACCCGAAACCCGGUGAUCUAGCCAUGGGCAGGUUGAAGGUUGAGUAACAUCAACUGGAGGACCGAACCCACUAACGUUGAAAAGUUAGGGGAUGACUUGUGGCUGGGGGUGAAAGGCCAAUCAAACCGGGAGAUAGCUGGUUCUCCCCGAAAUCUAUUUAGGUAGAGCCUCGGACGAAUUCCAUUGGGGGUAGAGCACUGUUAAGGCUAGGGGGUCAUCCCGACUUACCAACCCUUUGCAAACUCCGAAUACCAAUGAGAACUAUCCGGGAGACACACGGCGGGUGCUAACGUCCGUCGUGAAGAGGGAAACAACCCAGACCGCCAGCUAAGGUCCCAAAAUAUUGCUAAGUGGGAAACGAUGUGGGAAGGCAUAGACAGCUAGGAGGUUGGCUUAGAAGCAGCCACCCUUUAAAGAAAGCGUAAUAGCUCACUAGUCGAGUCGGCCUGCGCGGAAGAUGUAACGGGGCUAAGCAAUAUACCGAAGCUGCGGAUACGUGUUUACACGUAUGGUAGGGGAGCGUUGUGUAAGUGGAUGAAGGUGGAUUGAGAAGUCUGCUGGACAUAUCACAAGUGCGAAUGCUGACAUGAGUAACGAUAAUGGGAGUGAAAAACUCCCACGCCGGAAGACCAAGGUUUCCUGUCCCAUGCUAAUCAGGGCAGGGUAAGUCGGCCCCUAAGGCGAGGCAGAAAUGCGUAGUCGAUGGGAAACGGAUUAAUAUUUCCGUACUUAUAUAAUCAGUGAUGGAGGGACGGAGAAGGCUAAGCAAGCUUGGCGUUGGUUGUCCAAGUGAAAGCAAGUAGGCCGAGUGUUUAGGUAAAUCCGGACGCUUAAAGCUGAGAUGCGAGACGAGCUACUACGGUAGUGAAGUUGUUGAUGCCCUGCUUCCAGGAAAAGCUUCUAAACUUAUGAUUAUAUGAACCGUACCCCAAACCGACACAGGUGGUCAGGUAGAGAAUACUAAGGCGCUUGAGAGAACUCGGGUGAAGGAACUCGGCAAAAUUGUACCGUAACUUCGGGAGAAGGUACGCCCUUGUUUGUGAUAGGACUUGCUCCUUGAGCAGAUGAGGGCCGCAGUGACCAGGUGGCUGGGACUGUUUAUUAAAAACACAGCACUCUGCUAACUCGCAAGAGGACGUAUAGGGUGUGACACCUGCCCGGUGCCGGAAGGUUAAUUGAUGGGGUUAUCUUCGGAGAAGCUCUUGAUCGAAGCCCCGGUAAACGGCGGCCGUAACUAUAACGGUCCUAAGGUAGCGAAAUUCCUUGUCGGGUAAGUUCCGACCUGCACGAAUGGUGUAACCAUGGCCACGCUGUCUCCACCCGAGACUCAGUGAAAUUGAAAUCGCAGUGAAGAUGCUGUGUACCCGCACCUAGACGGAAAGACCCCGUGAACCUUUACUACAGCUUGGCACUGAACAUUGAACCUACAUGUGUAGGAUAGGUGGGAGGCUUCGAAGCACAGUCGCUAGAUUGUGUGGAGCCGUCCUUGAAAUACCACCCUUGUAUGUUUGAUGUUCUAACAUUGGUCCCUUAUCGGGAUUAUGGACAGUGUCUGGUGGGUAGUUUGACUGGGGCGGUCUCCUCCCAAAUAGUAACGGAGGAGCACGAAGGUUAGCUAAUCACGGUCGGACAUCGUGAGGUUAGUGCAAUGGCAUAAGCUAGCUUAACUGCGAGACAGACACGUCGAGCAGGUACGAAAGUAGGUCAUAGUGAUCCGGUGGUUCUGUAUGGAAGGGCCAUCGCUCAACGGAUAAAAGGUACUCCGGGGAUAACAGGCUGAUACCGCCCAAGAGUUCAUAUCGACGGCGGUGUUUGGCACCUCGAUGUCGGCUCAUCACAUCCUGGGGCUGAAGUCGGUCCCAAGGGUAUGGCUGUUCGCCAUUUAAAGUGGUACGCGAGCUGGGUUUAGAACGUCGUGAGACAGUUCGGUCCCUAUCUGGUGUGGGCGUUGGAUGAUUGAUGGGAGCUGCUCCUAGUACGAGAGGACCGGAGUGGACGAACCGCUGGUGUUCGGGUUGUCAUGCCAAUGGCAUUGCCCGGUAGCUACGUUCGGAACGGAUAACCGCUGAAAGCAUCUAAGCGGGAAGCCGGCCCAAAGAUGAGUCAUCCCUGACUUUUAAAGUCCGGAAGGGUUGUUAUAGACGAUGACGUUGAUAGGCAGGAUGUGGAAGCGUUGUAAGGCGUUAAGCUAACCUGUACUAAUUGCCCGAGAGGCUUAACCAUACAACGCCCAAG
rnacentral:rRNA from 1 species